ACCGACAAGAAGACCAGCUCCAGGUUGCUUUAUAUGACAGAGCUCAGCAACAGCAAUCGUCCCUUCGGGGACAUCCGAUAAAAUUGGAACGAUACAGAGAAGAUUAGCAUGGCCCCUGCGCAAGGAUGACACGCACAAAUCGAGAAAUGGUCCAAAUUUUUUUCCCUCCCAUCGUCUUCGCCGAAACCCUAGCUUAAUGAUGGUGGACUGUGGAAUCGGUUGAGGAGGUUAUUACAUUGUGGUUAUUGAGCUUUUUUUAUUUGAUUUUGGUUGAUCAUCGCCUCCAAUUAGGGCUCGAAAUCAAUGAGGGCAGCUGUGGCUGUAUUUUGAGGAGGGAUCGAAAUCAAUGAAACACCAAUGGGAGUAGCCCUGGGCGUUUUUUUAGAAGAAAAUAUAGUAACAAGGAUGAUCCUAAGCAAUGGUGAUGAUAACUGGUUGAAUGCUAUCAGAAGUCGUCAUAGAAGAUGUGGAAGCCAUGAUCAGCUUCAUGUUGCUGUUGAUUUCUUCCAACCAUUAUUGAAAGAUAAGUAGAGUUGGUGAAGUAGAUGGGAGCUUCGACUCCGAGUAUAACAAACGAAGCCACCCUUUGAGCUUCUUUGUAUCGAUCAAGAUCUCGACAGAUUUGAGUGCCGGGAAUGUUUCCUAGAAUGUUCGUAUUUGGUCGCGUCACAUGUAACGGUAAACCAUAAAGCACAGACAUAAUGCAAAACGGUUCUUAGAGAACAAUUUCAAGAUUUGGGAUUGGUGAUUGAAGAAAGAUGGAAGAAUUACUGCAAUUGCAAGGCCAACGGGGACCGAAACAAAUAGAACACCCAAGAAAGAUGAUAAGCAGGCCAAGAAAUCGAGUUUGUCAACUUUCCUAAGACGAAAUGCACUUUGGUAAUCAAUUAGACCGAUCACGACAGUGACGAUGAUUGCCGCCAAUGUUAGAUCCGGAGUGUAUCGAAAGAGCGGCAUCAAGAACAAGAGUGUCACGAGUACCCUUAAGGCCAUUAUGACGUUCGACAUUGCUGUUUGUCCCCUGGCGUUUUCAUUCACAGGUGAUCGAGAAAACGACCCUGCCAAACCCAAAAUGUAAUCCAUUUAUGUCAUAUCUUUUCGUUGUUUUUUUUUUC